ACACACACACACACCCCAGACCCACUGCAGAAUCUUGAAAAUUUCUUCCCAUGAGUCCAAAGGCCAGAGAAUGAGUUAGGCUAGAACCUUUACAAUUACCAAGGAUACAAACUCAACUCAGCUUUUAAUUAGAGCACUGGAUUCCACUGUCUGAAGAGGUUCAGAUUUCCUCUGAGUUGUUUUUAUGAAAACAAAAGGUUCAGGGUUUUUCUUAAACAUCACCUGGGACAAUUUCUGAUGGCUCCCACUAUGGCAAGUGGACUCCUAAUUCAGGCCCCGUCCAAAUCUACCCAGGUUUGCAGAUGCCAUGAAGAUCAAAGGCAAAAGAGGGAUAUGAUUUCCAGCUCCCCAUUUUUCCUGCCCCUGCAGGAACUCUAGCUCAUUCCUUUCCUCUCCAAGGCUGCUGGUCUGGGCCCAAGAAUUAUCAGUGUCAUCAGUGCAAGGAGGUUAUCAGUGCAAGAAAGUGGAUUAGCAGUUGUCAGUGUUGUCAGUGCAAGAAGGUGGAUUAGAGGUAUUAGUAAGAGAUGUUUAAAGCCAUGAGUACUGAAAGCAGCUUUUGGCCUCACGAUUCGAAAAGCUGAAAAAACACUGGAAGAGGGAGUCUGAAGCACUUUAUCAACAAGGAAUGCAGGAAGUUUAUGUAUCGACCACCUCUUACUUUCUCUAAGUGUAUCUUAGAAACGGAGAAAUUAUACACGUAAGUAGAACUUUAGAUAGCCAGUCAUUUUUUAAAAUUUCUGAAUUAUAUAAAUUGACUUGAAUGAUUUUAGGAUGAUCUUGGGAAUAUUAAUCUGGAAAAAAAUGUUCAUUUACAAUGUGCUGGGCAUUUAUUUUUCUCAUUUAUUCAACAUAUUUACUGAAACCUAUGGGGUAUAUACUCUGCCAUGUGCUGGGGGUAUGAAGAUGAACAAGAGCACUUAAGUCAUGUCCGAUACCAGUAGCUAGUGCAGUACUAAAUGCAUACCUAAUGACAAAAUAAUGGCUAGCACUUACUGCUUAGCUGUUCAAUGCACUAGUCCUGUAUUAACUCAUGUAGACAGUGCAAUGACUCUGUGAGGUACGUAUAAUUAUUAUUUCUAUUUUACAGAGAAGUUAAGUAACUGCCCAAGGUCGCAGAGCUAAUAAACGUCUGAGACCAGCUUCACACCUAUACAGCCUGGCUUCAAAAUCCACUAUAUUAUUUCAGAAAAGUGUCAUACUAGCAGUUUCUAAGUUUUCACUGAAUACUCCACAAUUUCAUUUAUUUUUACUCCAACUCUACCCUGAAAAGAUUCUGUACAUUUAUCAGCAAUUAUAAGAACUUCUGUUACCGAAUGAUGUUCCCUAACAUAGAUAAGGAUUGCUAGACCUAUUUUAGGAAAAAGAAAACUCAAGCUCAAAAUGUGCAUUGAUUUGUCAUGUGGUCAUGUGUUCAACGAAAGUUUGAACACUAGGUGGCAUACAAAGAUGAUCAAGACAUAAUCUCUCUGUGAAGAGCACAGAGCAAUGCUAAGGGGAUAAGAAGAAAUGAGCAAUUAAUGCCGCAAGGAGACUCCUCAGAGGAAGUGAUCUGUGGGAUGACAGGUCCCUUUACACAGCACUGCUCCCCGCUCAGACGUGACGUGGAGACUGAGCUGGAAAUCUGCGUCCCUCAUGUAGUAAGUCCUAGGCUUGUUCUUCACAUGAAGUUAUGGAUUUAUGGAUUGGUGUAAAAAUACUCAGCAAGUUGAUCCAAAAAAUAAAAAUUUUAGCUACACCAUUAGGAAAAAAACAACAGAAUCACAAUAUGUUUAGUAAGCUAUUUUUCACAUGAGAACUUCUCUGUACAUAAGGAGAUUUAAUGAUUCAACACCAUGUGGUAAAUUAUUUCCAUUAUGAACUUGACUUCAGAAUGUAAUUUUUAGGUGGGGGAAGAUGGGCAAAAAGGAAUGACGAAGAACAUAUUUGUAAACUACUAAGAGAAUAUCAGUUGUGAAGAACACUGGCUAAAAUCAUGUCUGGCAAAGCAUUCGCGCUCAUGUGCAGUUCCUGUGACAUGGCUAUUUCUUAGGACACCUCAUUAGACACAGCCUGUUUCUUGUUCAUUCAUUCUCUGAGUCUACCGGCCCACCUGGUGCAGCAUCCAGGAGAAUGAACUCGGUGACACAAAAUCCUAGAAUUUUAUAUGACUGCCAUAACAGGUGGUACUAACAAAAUAAACCUGGCAAUUUUCAUCCAAGAACAUUUAAAAGUGAGUUUUGAGCAGGCAGUUUUUAAAAGAAACGCUUAUGCUUUUGAAGAAUGGCAGUGAGCCCUUGAAGAGCUGAAACUGAUUAUGUUGAAUUGUAUUGCAAACUGAGCCGCAGCUUCCUCUCCUGCUCCCUUUCCCAGCAUUUCUACCUUGACUUAACACAAAACAAGGGCCAUAUGGGAGAGGUGGGUCUCAUUCCACUGUUACAGGAGGGCAGAGUUCAGAUGGAACUCUGCUGCUCUCAUUGUGAUGCAUCUCAGCAAAGGCACAGACUGUAAACAGGAAGAACUGAUGCCGUGUGUUGCGGAGAGAUGAAAGAAGUGUGGUAUUUCACCUCCUGGCCAAAAAACAGAAAAUCACAGCUCUCAAAUCAAGGAGAGCUUGUAGGUAAGAGCAGAGAUGGGAACUCGAAGUACACUUUUUAUUGCAAACUUCCUAAGUGUUCUCAAGCAAGGCAUUUUGCUUUUCUGAGCCUCACUCCCCUUGGUGCAUGGCAGCCACCAGCACUUUACAGGGGCUUCUGCUCCUCUGGUCAAUCGUCUGUGAAUUCAGCGAUGAACUGGCCCUGCUUCAAAUUCCUGGAUUUUAGGCCCUACCAACAUUUGGGGUUUUAGCUGCACUUUCCAUAAAUUAACCUAUCAGGGUUAAUUGAACACAAAUGACAGUUAUCACCAAAGUAACUUUUGAGUAAUAGUGUAACAGUUGCUGUUUCUUUUUUCUCAGUCCAUACAACUAUUCCUAAAGUUGCGGG